GAUAAAGGCUAUAAAGAACAUCUUCCCUGAUGGAUUUUGCCUUCAACGUGGGAAGUUCAGAGCUAGAAUUUGAACCUGGACCUCCGGCCAGUCAUGAGCAUGGGACUAUGGGUCUGAUUCAGGCUCACAGUUUUGAUGCCUCGAAUAAAUGUCAGCACCUUUACCAACAAAUGCAUUGAGAAGUGGAUUAGACAAGCAAGUGGGCUGAAGAAAGCAUCUGCUUCCAGUCUUCUGAUGUACCUUGAGGACCUAUAUCUGGAGUCAAUCCCUAUGUUGAGGAUCAAAACUAUAUUUUCUCUGUGUGGCUGAAGAACGUAUAUCAGAAUGAUUAAGCCUCAGCAUCACUCAGCUGGAUCUGCUGAAGAUACCAGUGUUCGAGCUUGGCCCACGACUGUACCAACUGGUCCUUUUUAAAUUGAAGACUCACCAAAGAGCAAGAAGAGAGAUGAGUAAGGAAGGCCUGUAAGGGCUGGGACUUUGAGAAACAAGCAUUCACCUCCCUGCUUCCUCUGCUGCAAAGAAACCAGACAGGACUGGAUCCUAAAGAGAAAAGUGUUUAUGCGCUUGUUGAUUAAUUGUCGGUUGGAUUCUCCAGUUGUACUCAGGACACAGUUUCCUCUCCGGAAGUUCGCUAACAGCAAGGAUCAGUAAGAAGGUCUAAUUACCUUUGGAGUUUUUUUUAAACAAUCUUGGAAAAUCUGGCUGCCAACCUAAUAUAUAAUUUCAGGAGAAAGGUAGACCUCUUGAUACCACCUCGAGUAUUGUCCUUCAUGGUAUUGGACUUACCCAGAGCAGGAUGCAAGUCCAACAUCUAGAAAGGAGAGGUGUCUGUACUCUAAUGGCCACAUACGAUGAGCUGAGAGGAGACUGACCCGAGCUGUAUGCGAUCAGAAAUAGAAGUCCUGACCUUAGCCAGUAGUGACUGGAAGAGUUUGGGCUGGACAUUGGACAAAAAGCGAUAGAGGAAGAUCCUAUGCUAUGAGCUGAGCUCUGAAACUAAACCAGAAGGAUAAAGAGGAAGAGGAACCACCCUCAAACCUGGGAUCAUAAGGUAUGAUCUGAAAACGGAGCUUCGUGUGCUUUCUGCUGGGUGCCGACUCAUCUUGCUGGUGUUGGAUAAUGUUCAUUUGGAAAAGGAACAUGAGAAUUAAAGCUGCCAGAGGCAACUCUGAAGAGCAUAUGAUGGAAACAAAUUGAAUCACCACUAAUGUGGCUAACAUUGUUGGUGGAAACUGGGACACCCGCAUGAGCCAUUGUUCAGGGUACCUCGUCUGGUUUAUGUAGCUCGCUGAGUUGAAAGCUGGAUCUGCGUUAACCUUGUGAUUGAGGGGGAUUCAUGCAAUGUGGUUUCAAUUGUCUAUGGAUGCUUUCAGUUUGUACUGCACACUGCCAGUAACGAUCGGCCCUACUGGUCUCCCACGUCCAUGGUGUUGUCUCAGCUCACCCUGAUGAAGCUGUGGUGAGGACUGUUUCCUGAUGUGGUCGCUUCUAGGAGGCUGCUGCUCUGCAAGGCUGCUAGGCGAGAGGUAUUUAUUCACUCUUCCCUCUGCCUCAAUAACAGCUGUUGCAUAGAAGUUUUCCCUGAGUACAUUUUGCCACGGAAAAGAGCUUUUUUGUUUUUCAGGCUGCUUUCUGUCCUGACUUGGUCUGGAGUUGCCUUUGGUACUGUUGUGGAAGUAUCUAAGGCCAUGAUUUAUUCUCUUGAGCACUUCUUGUUUGAAGGUCGCACAGAGUGAGGCUUGUACUGGUUUUAUCUCCCGUUUUCAUCCUACUGGUGUACAGAGCUUUUGUCUGUGGGCAUUCCUCUGUGGGCCUGAGGGUGAUGAGACCUACUAAAAUAGUGAGCGAUCACUUCAACCACCACCAAAUUACAGCCAUGCCUGAGGCAAACUACAACAGCUUUCUAACAGUGUCACCACGCUAUCUUUGUGACAGAGAUGGAGAUAAUGAGAAUUAAUUAAUCAGUCUUUGAUUAGAAAAAAAAAGAGGAGGGGGAAAUCCUUCUGCUGACUCCACUACAAAAUACAUGAAACUGGUGAGGUUUUUAUUUGAUGUUACUUCUCAAAUAUAGGGCAGGCAUUUGUAAUGUGGUGUUUGAGAUUGUGUGGCUGCUGUCUUGGUUAGCCCUCCAAACCCACUGCUGAUGGACCAAAGGAACAAGACCUUCUCAUUUUAUCAGGCUGAUGUAACUGUUGUUAUUGUCACAGUGUAAAAAACUCCCACUUAUUCAAAGCCUUGAUUAAAGUCCCAGGUGUGUUCUCCUUCACUAUAGCCAACUCUUCCUUCUUUGCGAUAUUGGGGGUGAAAUUCUGUGUCGCACUCUUUAGACUGAUGGCUAAAUCUUAGAAAUCGGUCCCUUAUGA